GACGAACGCUGGCGGCGUGCUUAACACAUGCAAGUCAAACGGAAAGGCCCUGCUUUUGUGUGGUGCUCGAGUGGCGAACGGGUGAGUAACACGUGAGUAACCUGCCCUUGACUUUGGGAUAACUUCAGGAAACUGGGGCUAAUACCGGAUAGGAGCUCCUGCUGCAUGGUGGGGGUUGGAAAGUUUCGGCGGUUGGGGAUGGACUCGCGGCUUAUCAGCUUGUUGGUGGGGUAGUGGCUUACCAAGGCUUUGACGGGUAGCCGGCCUGAGAGGGUGACCGGCCACAUUGGGACUGAGAUACGGCCCAGACUCCUACGGGAGGCAGCAGUGGGGAAUAUUGCACAAUGGGCGGAAGCCUGAUGCAGCAACGCCGCGUGCGGGAUGACGGCCUUCGGGUUGUAAACCGCUUUCGCCUGUGACGAAGCGUGAGUGACGGUAAUGGGUAAAGAAGCACCGGCUAACUACGUG
rnacentral:rRNA from 1 species